GACAGAGGUGCCAAGCGUUAGGCGGAAUCACUGGGCCUAAAGCGUGUGUAGGCGGGUGCCUAAGUACCUUGUGAAAUCCCCCGGCUCAACCGGGGAACGGCUGGGUAUACUGGGUGCCUUGGGUCAUCUAGGGGCUGCCGGAACAAAUGGUGGAGCGGUGAAAUGCGUAGAUAUCAUUUGGAACGCCAACGGCGAAAGCAGGCAGCUGGGGAUGCACCGACGCUGAGACACGAAAGCCAGGGGAGCGAACGGG
rnacentral:rRNA from 1 species